rnacentral:rRNA from 1 species
GUGCCAGCCGCCGCGGUAAGACGAACCGUCCAAACGUUAUUCGGAAUCACUGGGCUUACAGAGUUCGUAGGCGGUCUGGAAAGUUGGGUGUGAAAUCCCUCGGCUCAACCGAGGAACUGCGCUCAAAACUACCCGACUCGAGGGAGAUAGAGGAAAGCGGAACUGAUGGUGGAGCGGUGAAAUGCGUUGAUAUCAUCAGGAACACCGGUGGCGAAGGCGGCUUUCUGGGUCUUACCUGACGCUGAGGAACGAAAGCUAGGGGAGCGAACGGGAUUAGAUACCCGGGUAGUCC